rnacentral:rRNA from 1 species
UACGAGGGGGGCGAGCGUUGUUCGGAAUUAUUGGGCGUAAAGGGUGCGUAGGCGGUUUGGUAAGUCUCUUGUGAAAUCUAUGGGCUCAACUCAUAGUCUGCAAGGGAAACUGCCGGGCUUGAGUGUGGGAGAGGUGAGUGGAAUUUCCGGUGUAGCGGUGAAAUGCGUAGAUAUCGGAAGGAACACCUGUGGCGAAAGCGGCUCACUGGACCACAACUGACGCUGAUGCACGAAAGCGUGGGGAGCAAACAGG